GUGAGGAAUAUUGGUCAAUGGACGAGAGUCUGAACCAGCCAAGUCGCGUGAAGGAAGACGGUUCUAUGAAUUGUAAACUUCUUUUGUGCAGGAAUAAAGUGGGUUACGUGUAACCUUUUGUAUGUACUGUACGAAUAAGGAUCGGCUAACUCCGUGCCAGCAGCCGCGGUAAUACGGAGGAUCCGAGCGUUAUCCGGAUUUAUUGGGUUUAAAGGGUGCGUAGGUGGAUUGAUAAGUCAGCGGUGAAAGUUUGCAGCUUAACUGUAAAAUUGCCGUUGAAACUGUCGGUCUUGAGUGCAAAUGAGGUAGGCGGAAUGUGUUGUGUAGCGGUGAAAUGCUUAGAUAUAACACAGAACUCCGAUUGCGAAGGCAGCUUACUGGGAUGCAACUGACACUGAUGCACGAAAGCGUGGGUAUCAAACAGGAUUAGAUACCCUUGUAGUCU
rnacentral:rRNA from 1 species